GAAAUGCGAUACUUAGUGUGAAUUGCAGAAUUCAGUGAAUCAUCGAAAUCUUGAACGCAUAUUGCACCUGUAGGUUCUCCUACAGGUACAUCUGUUUGAGUGUCCUUUCAAUAUCACCCCACAACAAAAAUUGCGGGUGUGGAAUUUGGGCGUCGAGCAAAUAACCGUGCUCUGUCGCCUUAAAUAUAUUAAGGUACCAAUCGAAGAGUCCAUCUCUGGUUCCAAAGUGGUGUUAGUAGCAUACUUAACUGUGUGAUUAUUUCUCCUCGAGUAAGACCAGGCUUAAAGAUGAGUCACUUUAUGGUUUCCAAUUACAAAGGACAAACUUUUUCCAAACUUGGACCUCAAAUCAGAUGAGAACACCCGCUGAACUUAA
rnacentral:misc_RNA from 1 species